rnacentral:rRNA from 1 species
UACGUAGGUGGCAAGCGUUAUCCGGAUUUAUUGGGCGUAAAGAGAACGCAGGCGGUCUUUUAAGUCUGAUGUGAAAGCCUUCGGCUUAACCGGAGUAGUGCAUUGGAAGCUGGGAGACUUGAGCGCAGAAGAGGAGAGUGGAACUCCAUGUGUAGCGGUGAAAUGCGUAGAUAUAUGGAAGAACACCAGUGGCGAAAGCGGCUCUCUGGUCUGUAACUGACGCUGAGGUUCGAAAGCGUGGGUAGCAAACAGG